rnacentral:rRNA from 1 species
AUUGAACGCUGGCGGAAUGCCUUACACAUGCAAGUCGAACGGCAGCACGGGGCAACCUGGUGGCGAGUGGCGAACGGGUGAGUAAUACAUCGGAACGUGCCCAAUCGUGGGGGAUAACGUAGCGAAAGUUACGCUAAUACCGCAUACGAUCUACGGAUGAAAGCGGGGGAUCGCAAGACCUCGCGCGAAUGGAGCGGCCGACGUCAGAUUAGGUAGUUGGUGGGGUAAAGGCUCACCAAGCCGACGAUCUGUAGCUGGUCUGAGAGGACGACCAGCCACACUGGGACUGAGACACGGCCCAGACUCCUACGGGAGGCAGCAGUGGGGAAUUUUGGACAAUGGGCGCAAGCCUGAUCCAGCCAUUCCGCGUGCAGGAUGAAGGCCUUCGGGUUGUAAACUGCUUUUGUACGGAGCGAAAAGGCUCUCUCUAAUACAGGGGGCUCAUGACGGUACCGUAAGAAUAAGCACCGGCUAACUACGUGCCAGCAGCCGCCGCGGUAA